GAUGCUGACGAGCGGCGGACGGGUGAGUAAUGCAUAGGAAUCUGCCCGAUAGUGGGGGAUAACCUGGGGAAACCCAGGCUAAUACCGCAUACGUCCUACGGGAGAAAGGGGGCUUCGGCUCCCGCUAUUGGAUGAGCCUAUGUCGGAUUAGCUAGUUGGUGAGGUAACGGCUCACCAAGGCAACGAUCCGUAGCUGGUCUGAGAGGAUGAUCAGCCACAUCGGGACUGAGACACGGCCCGAACUCCUACGGGAGGCAGCAGUGGGGAAUAUUGGACAAUGGGCGCAAGCCUGAUCCAGCCAUGCCGCGUGUGUGAAGAAGGCCCUCGGGUUGUAAAGCACUUUCAGCGAGGAAGAACGCCUAGCGGUUAAUACCCGCUAGGAAAGACAUCACUCGCAGAAGAAGCACCGGCUAACUCCGUGCCAGCAGCCGCGGUAAUACGGAGGGUGCAAGCGUUAAUCGGAAUUACUGGGCGUAAAGCGCGCGUAGGUGGCUUGAUAAGCCGGUUGUGAAAGCCCCGGGCUCAACCUGGGAACGGCAUCCGGAACUGUCAAGCUAGAGUGCAGGAGAGGAAGGUAGAAUUCCCGGUGUAGCGGUGAAA
rnacentral:rRNA from 1 species